ACGGAAGGCAGCAGUAGGGAAUAUUGCGCAAUGGGGGAAACCCUGAUGCAGCAACGCCACGUGUGGGAAGAAGCAUUUCGGUGUGUAAACCACUGUCGUGAGGGAAUAAUGCUUAAUUUCGGUUAAGUUGAAUGUACCUCGAAAGGAAGCACCGGCAAACUUCGUGCCAGCAGCCGCGGUAAUACGAGGGGUGCAAGCGUUGUUCGGAAUCACUGGGCGUAAAGGGAGCGCAGGCGGCGAUACGAGCAGUCUGUACAAUACCGGGGCCCAACCCCGGACCUGCAGACUGGACUGUUUCUCUUGGAUAGUUCAGGGGCAAGCGGAAUUCCUGGUGUAGCGGUGUAAUGCGUAGAGAUCAGGAAGAACACCGAUGGCGAAGGCAGCUUGCUGGGGACUUAUCGACGCUCAUGCUCGAAAGUGCGGGUAGCAAACAGGAUUAGAUACCCUGGUA
rnacentral:rRNA from 1 species